rnacentral:rRNA from 1 species
CAGCAGCCACGGGAAUACGAAGGGUGCAAGCGUUAAUCGGAAUUACUGGGCGUAAAGCGUGCGUAGGUGGUGGUUUAAGUCCGUUGUGAAAGCCCUGGGCUCAACCUGGGAAUUGCAGUGGAUACUGGGUCACUAGAGUGUGGUAGAGGAUAGUGGAAUUUCCGGUGUAGCAGUGAAAUGCGUAGAGAUCGGAAGGAACAUCUGUGGCGAAGGCGACUAUCUGGGCCAACACUGACACUGAGGCACGAAAGCGUGGGGAGCAAACAGGAUUAGAUACCCGGGUAGUCCCUGUCUCUUAUAC